CAACCAUCGUGAUUCUAACCUGUUAAAAAAUGACACAAAAAUCAACAUUCUCUCCUUUUUGAUGUGACUUGGAAGACAUUUAAUUAAUACUCCCUUCGUCCCAAAUUAUUUGUUGUUUUAGAGUUCUACACAGAUAUCAAUAUUUGUGAUAAAAAUAUUAAAAUACCCUUAUGUACUGAUUUUUUGUUUUCCGCAAUUAAGGCUUUAGUAAAAAGAGAUUGUCCAUGGAAGAGUGUGCCAGGAAGGUCUUUUAAAAAGCAUAACUUUGACAAUCAGAUCCUUAUUGGUGGGAAUAUGAAAAGGAUACUUAAAAAAGAGGAGAGGCUUGAAUGAAUAAUGACUAUCAACAAUUAGGGAAAAGGGCAAAUUUGGAAAACAAAGGAAAAAAAUGCAUUGAAAUCUUGAAAAAGUAGAUUUUGUGGGAUAAAUUUUUUUUAUUAAAACAGCAGAUAAUUCGGGACGGAGGGAGUAUAUGACAAGCAAUGAUGGCAUGUAGCUGUGUUGAUAUGCUAACUAUUUAUAAAGUGCAAAGUGUGUUAGCUUUUUUUAUAGGCAGAUAUAAUUUUAUCCCUGAAUUUAAUAUAUUUGCAAAGCACUUGUAAUCAAUUCAACUCUUAAGCUUUUCAAAAUCAGCAAAAUGACCAAGAGCACACCAUUACAUAUUACUCAGUAAUAAAACUUUGACAAGACUCCAAAAGAAACUAUUUCUAUUUGUUAGGGAAAAAUGCAAUUAACUAAAUUUAAAAUUAAUCGCAGAACCAAAGAAUAUCAAGAGGAAAUAAAGAUUUUAAAUUUAAAUAUAUUGGAAGGAAAAGUGGAGAAUCUUUCUAGGCAAAAUUAGAUACUUCUUUCACAACAUCAAAGCCAAACAAAAAGUACGUGAAAUUCUUAACACCCAAAUUCUAAAGUACAAAAAAUUUAAUACAAAUAAAAAAUUGUAAAAUGUCAUAGUUCCAUAGAGGUGUCAUACUCCAUUCAUUCAAAAGAAAACAAAAAACCAAUUUUUUUUAUUAUUUACUGUAUAAAAUCCACAUAACAAUUUAUACAAGUUUAUAGUCAAAUCCCAUGAAUAAAGACACAUAGUUGCAAUAUGCUCCAUACCCCACUACCAAUAGUAAGACCACAUUUCAACCUGACUUUACCCACAAAUAUUGAAAAGAAUAAACAAACCCAAAUUCUAAGCAAUCUCAUGGAUACAGUCAAUGUAAACAUAGGAAAUCCCAUGGAUGACAUGACCAUUCUGCAAAGGUUGUGGAUAGAAACCUAAAUUCUCGGAUGUAGAAAAUAAAUCAAGUUAAUGGCAACUUACCAUUCUAAAGCAUGUCUAUCUUUUGCAUGAUUGAUCUUAUAUGUGAUCCUAUUCCUUUCUUUCGUAUUAUUUAAUAAUAUUUAUUUUAUUCUUUUCUUAUUUAAUAUGAUUUGUGUAUCGGAAGUGAAUUUGAGGGCAUCAAGCAAGACACACAAAUCCUGCUGCUUCAGCUUUCUGACGAGAUAUAUACCAUUCUGUUCCGUAUGCAUCGCAGAGGGUCAAUUUUGUAUGCCCAAUCUACCACAACAUGAAAGUCUUCCUAAAGAGUUAGAAGGGAAAAAAUUCAACAUGCCAAGAAAAAAAGUUCUGUUUGCCAAAUAAAUGAAACUCCUUGUUUAAAUUUAAAAAACAUCACAACUGGGAAACAAACUACCAGCCUGUGUUGAGCAGAAGUUGAAAAUUGAAUAUAUGGAAAAAUUAUCACAAGAUCGAAAAGUGUGACGCGGGGUGUAUAAGCAAAAUAACCCAGCAGUAAGAAUCGAAUUCACCAUAAAGACUAGGAAAUUGAUUUAGCUGGAUUACCUUAUAACAGUUACAACUUCAGUUGUUAAAGAACAAGAAAGUACAUUUCUUUAAAAUUAAGUAAUUCAAAGAAACAACAUGACUUAGUCUUUUAGCCGAUGUUAGUAAGCCUAUUCUAUGUGUAAUUUUUUCUCAUGAUUUGUUUAUUGAUAGGGUAAUUGAAUGGUUUUUUUAAGUGUGGCAACAUAAGAAAUAAUACAAUUAGAAGUCCCUAAAGAUCAACCUAGAACCUAUAAAUGUUUUGAACCAAGUUAGGAAAAUAGAGUUCAAAUUUAGAGUAGUGGGAGGAAGAAUGGGCAAGAAAAGGUAUUGGGGAGGGAGAACGGGAUAAGGGAGAGAAACUUCUCAAAAAUGUUUAAUAUUCAUUCAUAAUCAGCAUAAAAAUGAAAUUACAUGAGCUACUCGUACUUGACUACUAGAUAGAGCAACGUGCUCCUGCCUUAAUCCUUAUCCUAAUCAUGCACAUGGACCAUGUGAGGUCGCACUAUCUAAUAACAAGCAACUUUCAACAAAAUAGGAGAAUACCACAAUUUUAUACUACUCCCUGCAUCAUUUAAAAUGAUCCUAAUAAGUUGGCACAGACUUUAAGAUUGUGUCUACUAAAUAAUAUUUUAGAGUUAUUUUAAUCUGAUAAUUCCUUGAAUAUGGGAACCACAUGUUUUGAAAUGGACAACUUUGAGGGUCAAAAAACUCUAAUUUAAAUAGGAUGUGGGGUAAGUAAAAUAUAGUAUUUAAUUCUUUUUUCAUUCAUUUAAUGCCUAUUGGUGUUCCAAAAUUACACAUAAAACUUUGAAAUCAAAUAAAGUGAAAAGGCUCAAAUAAUUUGGAACUUCAGAAAAGGAUAGGUGAUCAAUAAAGAACGGAAGGAGUAUUAUAAGCACCAAAAUUCUAAGUUGUGCAAGGAUGUCUGUAACGCCCCCAAAAUGGGGAUAAUUUCCCUCUCCGAUCUUGUGCGUAUAUUAUCAUGUUCUAGCUUUAAAAUAUUAUUUAAUGUUAAAAUAGCUAAAAAUGUGAAAUACUUUUUUUUUUUCUUUCCAUUCAAUCAUUCCCCGAAUCGCAACCUUUACAAUUCUUCUUCUAUUAGAAUCAUAUUUAUUAUAUGAUUUGUAUAAUCUGUGUAAACGUAUUAAAAACUUAAGUCUCAAUAUUUCAUAUAUUUUCUAUCGAUGGUUCAUUUAUUUUAGAAUCAUAUCUAUUCUCAUUUCAGAAUAAACAUUCUUUAUUCAUUCAACAUUUCAAACUAUACAUAACUGCCAAUUACAUUUGACAAAACUAUCAAUCAUAGAUUUAUACCAUUUCUAAUUCAAGGAAAUGUAUUCAUUUUGCACAUCGUUCAAUCUUCAUCAUCCGUAUAACAAGUAAUAUUGCUUAACAUCAUUAACCUGCAAAAAGUUUGUGUUUGCAAGAUUGAGCUUGACAGCCCAACAAAUUUAACAGUCUAUCAUAUUUCACACAGCACACAAUUCCAUAUGCACUAUAUUUUCUUUACUAUGCAUAUCCGCAUGCAACAUAUAUUCUUUACUAUGCAUUUUCUACAUGCAUCAAUAAUUCCUUACAAAGCAUACAUUCAUGCAUUAUACAUUUCUAAUUUAUCGAGCUACAUCAUACAACAUGUGUUAUCACAUAUCACAUAUAAAUUGAGUUCCAUAAUCCAAUUAACUUAGUCAUAUUUUGACUUUAACAAUUCAUAAAGUAUGAUAUGUAACUCACCACAUAAUCUCAUUUAAUCUACAAACAUAAUAGAACUGAAAAACUUGUCUCGUUCAAUGACCAUUGAUACAAACUUUAAUUUAACUUCGCUUCACGAAUCCUACACAGUUAUGUUCACAUGUAUGCAUACACUAGCCACAUACUCCUGUAUAGAUAUUAAACAUUCAUAUACGUUAUAUCAGUAACUGAUAUUCUCAUUUCCAAGAAACUUCCAUAUUCUUUUUUUUCAAAUAUUUUAAGUUUCAGCUUAUUAUAGCUAUACAUUCUCAAAAAGUUCUAACACGACUUUUAAAUAAUUGUCUUCACAUACAAAACAUAUUAGUUAUGUGUCCAUGUCAUAUAACAUGUAUAGUUAUAUAUUAAAUAUCCAUAUUGGUCAUAUCAUUAACUUUUAAUUCUCGUUUUUGAAAACUUCUUAUAUUCUUUUCAAAAACGUUUAUUCUUUUACUCACGAUAGUCUUUUAUCGCUUUAACAACACUUGACAUGAUUUUAGUUCAUGAAUAUCUCACACUUUCAUUUUAUAAUUCUCUUGUAUCGUAUUACAUGGGUAUUCCAUACUUUUUAUACAUACUUUAUGUAUUCAAGGUGAAUUCGAAACUCAUUUUGUGCUUUGAGUGUAAUUAUAACUUGUAUGGACAACGUAUAGCUUUCGUAAUACUUUAUAGUUCCAAUUAAGUCCACUAAUGCUUUAAAUAUUGUUGUUUUUCAUCAUAUUGACAAAACAGCCCCUUCGAGGCAUUAGCAGUUUCAAACUUGGCUUAACAUCCCCAAUUUAGAUACACAAUAUCUCUACUAGACUUUAACUUAUAGAUUACUAACUCAAUGGUAUUAAACUGUAGGUAGGUUGUAGAUUUUAUACACAUGUCCAUUUAAAGAUAACAAACUCAAACUUUUUGGGUAAACUAUUGAACUAAAUUUCGAAGCCAAGAUGGCUCUUCAACGCUGCUGUAGCAGCUUCUUGUUGCUGUCUACUGUUGUUCGCUGCUGCCUAAUGGCAGCAACUCUUUCCCUUGCCCCAAACCUCAUGCAAAUUUUAGUUCCUAGUUUAAUAAUCCACUCACAAUUAACUCUUAAUAAAUUAUAGAUGGUACACCCACCUAUUAAAAUAGCUAACAAUCUGCAGUACUAUAUAAUAUAUAUGAACCCAAUUGCUUUCCAAAUUUGCUCCUUGUUGCUAACUGCUACUGCCAAUGGGCAACAACCCCUUCUUUUUCUCUUGUUUUGCUAGCUUUUCGCUCCUCACGACUUUGAUCUAUUCAUAUGGAAUUUUGAUAUUAUGUAGGUGAUAUACUUAGCUAUUAUAGUAAAACAUUAGCCGUGCAUCUUAAGCAAUUAAAGUUUGUUGGCUGAGAGCCCAAGGAAAACCCCCAGCCAUUGCCAAACAUCACCACUGCUGCUGCCAUGGGAAGCAGCUCUGUUUUCAACGUGCCCAUUUUGCGACCUCAUUACUUCUAGCUCGUAUAUUGGAUUACAACGAAUUUUAAAUAUGUUAUAUAUAGUAUAUGAGACUAUUUUUAAAAAAUACGAGUCACCCAAUUCGGGUUCAUUAGGCAGCCCAAAUAAUGCGUCAAAAAUAGACGUUCAUAACAGUUUCAAUUUCUUCCUAGCUGUACCCUCUCUCGCUAAAACAGUCAUAACUUUUUCGUUUUAAAACAUUUUUAGGCGAUUCUCGAGCCCACGCGAAGCUAACUUCCAGGACUACAAUUUUCAUUCUUUGACAAUUUUCAAAUUCAAAACACAGAAUCCCAGAAAAUUCGUGCAAGGUGACUGCCCCGAGUUGGUUAGACAGUUUUGACGCGACUACUUUGAACGGUCAUAACUCUUUGCUCCGAAAUCGGAAGUAGUACGUUCCAGAGUCUAUGGAAAGCUUAUUCAAUGUACUAUAAUACCCCGAAAGCCCAGAAUUUUCUGGAAACUCUAGCUAGCCCCGAAUUUUUCCUUAGGGUCAGAAGUUCACAAUUUUUCGGUUUCUAACAUGUUUAUUUCGCGUAGUUUAAUUUCUUACAUCUUCGAUUCAUUUGUAUUAAGUUUUGGAUAUAUAUAUAUAUAUAUAUAUAUAUAUAUAUAUAUAUAUAUAUAUAUAGGUUUUAUACUCACCUAUUUUAGAAACAUACCAGUUCAACAUUUUGAAUCAUUAAACUCGUUGACUGAGAGCUUAAAGAAGCCCCCAGCCAUCCGCCCUGCAGCGUGAUGCUGCCUACUGCUAUGAGCAGCAGCGUUUUGGACAUCAUGGCCACUUUACAACUUUUUAACUUCUAGCUCAUAUGCCGGAUUAAAACCAAUUUUAAAUAUGUUAUAUAUAGCAUAUGAUACUAUUUUUAGAAACUAUAAGCUCCCCAUUUUGGACUCUUUAAGUUACCCAAAAUUGUGCUCAAAAAUAGCUUGACAUACUAACUUUCAACUUUUUCGUUUUGGCUUAAAAUCGCAUUUUGUUUUAAUUUACUUUGCCCAAACCCUUUAAUCAUCUUCAUAUAGUGUAAAUAUACAUUACCUUAGCCUCGGAUUUGCUUAAUAUUUGGAUUUUAACUGAAACAGUCCGUAUAGGACUUUUAUCAAGCACUUGGUGUGCACUUUCUUAAAACGCAUAUUUCAUGGUGUUUGGUCUAUGUUCUAGCCCAAUUUUUGCCACCUUAUUACUCCGCACAACCAAUCAUACUUUCAAACAUUGACCCAAUUCCAUUCCUUUAGUUUCUAAAACAUGUUUUACAUUAUAAAUUCCAUUUCCAUAGCUUGAUCGUUACAUAAAUGAUCCUUAACCAACUGUUUUCACAGUUAAUUCCAAUUCCAACCAACUAAUUUCACAUUAAAAUUACUAACUCUCUAUGCUAAAUACUCAAAUUCCAUAUUUGCAAAUAUAUAUAUAGAAUAAGUUGUAUACCUUGUAUGCUUGAUUCUUGGAUUAUAAUUGAUCGAUUGGGAUUUGAAUGUUGGAAGGAAUAGCGUUGUUGAGACUUAUUUCUGGACAUGGGAGCUCGGCACAGGAAGAGGAGAAAUAUGGGAGAAUUCGACUAGUAGAGGAAAAAGAAGGCUAGGAUGCUAAAAUUUAUAAUCCCAAUUUUCUUGUCCCCCAAUCUUUCAACACUGUUUGGCUUGGGUUUCUAUUUUAUUUACUCUCAUUUAAUUAAUAUAGCUUUCUUUAGGAAUACAUAGAAUAUAUAAUUGCUAUUAUAUAUAUUAUGUAUUACCCUCUACAUAAAAAACAUAACAUUUAUAAAUAUAAUAUGUUUUUACCUUGUAUUCGCAAAAAUGUAUGUUACAUAUUAUUUCCAUAUAAAUGAAAAUUUACUCAAUUAACUAAGAUAUUAUAUUUAAUAUAAUAUCUUUGCUUUAUUAGAAUAAUUUCAAGCUAGAAUUUAUUUAAUUACUUAACCCUCUCUUUAAUAACUUAAGUUUAUUUAGUAAGUUAUUAUUUAAACAAAUUAUCCUUCUUAUUAUUCUUUUCUUCUUGGCAAUACAUAAAUUAUAUAUCAAUUAUGUAUUUCACCAUAAAACAUAAUACAAUUUAUUAAUAUUAUGAUUCUACUUUGUUUACGCAAAAUAAAUGUUUUACAUAAUUUCCCACAUAAAAGAAAUUAUACAUUUACUUAAGAUAUUAUAUUAAUUAUAAUAUCCUUACCUCGUAAAAAAAUUAUUCCUUGCAAGAAUUUACUUUAAUAUUCUUGGGUAAAGUAUAUAUAAAUAUUAUAUGCUUAACCCGCCUCUUUUUUCCUCAUUACGCAAAUUGUUCCCACAAUUUUAUUUCACUGCGUAAUAUAUAUUUAUUAACUCCCCAUUACCUAAUUUAAUAACUUGUUUAAAUUAUACAAUCUAUAUUGUAUAAUUAAAUUUAAUUUCCUCCUUUCCAUAUAUUGUUUUCAAACAAUUUAUUUGUAUACUAAAUACAUAAUUUAAUAUAUUUAAUUUAUUCAAAUAUGAAUUUAAUUUACUAACUAGUUGAUACAAAUAUACAUAUUUUAUAUAUUGGAUCUCAUAUCAUAUUUUUACUUUACAUCGUUUGGUAUAAUAUUAAAUAUUAUACCAUUAUCCAUGUAACAUAAUAUCAUAUAUCCAAUUAUUUUCUUCCCUUUCUAUAAAUUGCUUUCACAAUUUAUUUAACUGUGGUAAAUAUAUUAAUAUAUUCACUGCAUUAAAUACAUGCAUACAUUACACUCAAUAGUGUAAUAUAUGAUUUCUUCAAUAAAAUAGUGGUUAUACAUGAAGUAUAUUUAAUGCCACCAAUCUAUCAUAUUAAAAUAAUUUAAUAUUAUAAAUUAUUUUAAUUCUACCCAUCUUAUUUUCUUUAAUAAAUUAUCCCUAUAAUUUAUUUACAUAUAAUAAAUAUAUAAUACCAAUAUAUUUAUUAAACAUAAACAUCACAUAUUGCAUAGUUCAUACCCACUUAUGCAAUAUAAUAUCAUACAACAUAUUAUCUAAUAAGAAUUUUAUUUAUUUAAUUCUUAUUUUAAUAUUACCCAAAAAUUUAGGUUAUCACAAUGUCUCAUUAGACGGUUAAUACUUGAAAGAACAUGUAACGAUAUACAAGUUGCAUGAGGAUGCCUGAUUUAGCCGUGUAAGAGUAACUUAUAAAAUAAGACACUUAUUUUUUCUCCUCGCAAAAUAUAAGUGCUCCCUCCAUCUCAGGAGAAAUGUUCAGCAUUUGAUUUUUAUGGUCAAAAUGAUUAUUAUUAAAUUAAUAAUUAAGCAUAUACGUUUAGAAUUUUAAAAUCCCAAAUCUUGAUGUUAGUACUAAAUUAUGUGUAGUUUAUAAUAUUCAUAGUCUCUUUGCAUGUAUCUAAGAGAUUAAUACGAUUCAUUUUUAAAAAUGGUCGAUUUGACCAUGAAAAACAACAGAGGACAUUUAUCAUGGGAAACAGGAAGAAGAAAAAUCAGUAAUCCACCCCUUCAUGUUAUUCAACAACCUCAUGUAAAUUUGGUCAGAACACUGUCAUUACCAUCCUAUGCUGCCUGACAUAGGAACAAUGGUGUCAAAACUCAAAACUUCAACAAACAGUGAUGCAUUAUUGUUCCAUUUCCUUUAAAAAAGUCUAUUUGUUUAUUUUCAUAAGAAGAAUUUCAGUACAUUGAACAAAUGGAUCAAAAAUCAGACAAAUGGAUCAUAGAAUAUAUUGUGUUAUAUUAUAGAACAAAAGCAACACUAGAGCUGCUUGACAUUGUGCAUAUAGACAUACUGUUUCAGUAAUGAACUCUUUAAAAUACUCACAUAUAUAUUAACGUAAAAAGGUAAUCAAGAGAAAAGAUCUCAUACCUGAAACACACCCAUCUCUGUCAAGAAAUCCGUUGUCGGCCACACGGAAAAAUCAAACAAAAAUUGCUUAGUAUUACUCUAGUAUCAAUUAACCAAAAUCAGAGAAUAACCCUAGAUCAGAAGUAAUUAAGAUAAAAUUGCACUAAAUCAGCAAUAAACCUUUAUGGUACCAAAAACAAUUUACAAAGAAAUUAAACAAGCCUGUAAAUUUGGAUAAGCCCAAAAUAGCUCAAGAACACAGCAACAAAUAAAAUCACAAAUAGUUCAUAAAAACCAUAUUGUUCUAUGGAACUUUGCAAGUGUCGGUCAUCUAAGAACCUGAGAAUGAAGAGAAGAGGUAAAUCAUCAUAAACCACAAUUCAACAAUAAACAAUAAACACCCAAAGUUUAGAGAGAAUCGAAUGAUUUACAGAAUACAUGAGAAUCGAUUGAUUUAC
rnacentral:lncRNA from 1 species